rnacentral:sRNA from 1 species
GCUGGGUGCAGUGGCGCACACCUGUCAUCCCAGGGCUCGGGAGGCUGAGGCUGGAGGAUGGCGAGUUCAAAGCCAGCCUCAG